AUCAGCUCUUGCCACUGUGCUAGACCCUGCUGCCCUGGGGGGGCUGCAGAAGAUGGGGAGUCUCAUGAGGGAUCACCCUGGUGUCCCCCAUCUUCUGCAAAAACCCAGGGAAGUGUAAUUUACAGUGUAAAAAAGCCAUAAUCAAUAAGCGUGAGACCUUAGCCACGGCAGUGAAGGAAGAUCUAUUGAGCUGUUGGAGGCUAAAACCUUUUUCUUCUGCCACACAUUGUAUUUAGGAGAUCAAAAUGCUCAGUGCGUUGAAAGCAGAUUAAGGAAAUUAAUGAAAAGGGAAAAGCAGCCCAAACCAAUCUUUCCCUUUUCAGAGAAAGCAGAUAGUCACGGUGCUGCUUUCAUUAACAUUAAUGUCAGUUAAUGCUUUUAAUUGUUCUCUUCUGACAUUUCAAUUAUAUGUUUUACGUAAAUAAAUGUCAGCUUUGGGAUUGUCCAGGAUAGGAUUUUUGCAGAGGCUGUCUGCAAAUCCCCAUUAGUUGCCGUGCUGAUGUAGCAGCUCCCUUUCCAUCUCUGUGCCCUGAGAGUUGGGUUUUACCAGAGGGAGGGAGGCCGUCUUUUCCUUCAAGGUUCAAAACACUCCAUUUGAAAGGAAAAAGAAGCCUUUUUUUAAAAAUCAAAACCACACUUUUCAUAGAUUGACAUGGUAAGUGCGUGAAAGCUAAGAAUCAUCGUGCUGAUGCAAGUGCGUUUUAAAUAAACAAUAUUUUUCCUUGGAAAAUGGCUUCAUGGGAAACAAAGAAAGCCAGAGCUGGACUGUUACCCCAAGUCUGAACCAAAUAAUUCUUGCGGCUCUGGGAAAUUUAAACUCUAACAUGGGAGCAGUGCUUCCCGAGGUGUUUGACCCUUGCUCCCUGCCCUGCUGCCUAACAGCUGGCUGAAAUGAGGAAUUCAGAAAUUACUUUUUAUGGUGAAUGAAUGCUCAGCUCCAUUUAUGCCUAAAAUAAUCGCUGUCCCAACUCCGGGAGACGCAGCAGCAGAGAUGUGACUUCUCCCCUGUCACUUGGCCUGCUCUUUGGACACCUUUCAGGGCUGGUACCACCCGAGGGCAGUCUCCAGAGGAAGAUUUCUGGGCAUUUCGCUGAGAUUUGAGGCCACCUGGGUGUCUGCUGAGGCACCGCCAGCCCCAGCUGGUGCUCCUGUGCAGGCAAGAAUUUAACAGAAGCUCACCAAAAGCUCAGAAGCUCCCCAUUACUUCACUCCUGGGAUGAGAUUGGCCACAACUGGGAGCGAGACAACUGCUGCACAAGGCUGUUUGCUCACUGUUUCAACCAUUCUGCAUCGGUAUCUCCCCGCUUGUCCUGAGGGGCCGGGUUGGAUGAGGGACGCAUCCUGCUCUCAGCCCUGCUCGGAGCCCGGCUGGCACACAGGAGGAGCUUUGCUGUGGUCACCCUCACACAAAGCUCUGCUGAAGUAAAAUAUCCACCUGCAAACAUAAACCUGUGCACAGUCGAGCCCCAGGGGUGUCCCGGCCCUCUGGUACUCCCCGAGGGAUGCUGAAGAGCUGCAAUGUGAGUGCAGUUCACCCUGCCCAGGACAAAGCUGCUCCUGGACCAGCCCUCCUUAAACAUACCCUGUUUAGCAAUAGCUGUUCGGGAGCAGAGAAACCAGCAUCCACCGACAUGUCCUGUGGCAAUGGCUCCAGAUUUCUAAUUUAAUCCCUGAAUUGCCACACUGAAAUCCACUCAACUCAUCCACAGUGCUUGGGUUAAGAAAAAAAAAAAAAACACUAAACUUGAUGAAGGGGAAAGAAAAGCCCACAAGCUGUUUUAAUGCAGGGAAAGGAAUAUGAUCUGUCAGAAAGAUUAUUUUUACAAAUUGUUUGUCUGGUUAUGACGCUGAACAAGAGUUACAUUUUUCUCCCUGACAGCUCAUCACGCAGCGAGCGCUGAGCCGAAGAGCUCUUCACAGGCACGGAGCAGCUGCGAUGCCGUUAUCCUGCUUUACCCACUCGUGUUGCACACAGUCCUGCUGGAUGAAGAGGUGUUAAGUUGAAGGAAAAACAAACCCAAGAACCACUUGCAAGUCCAGCUAUGUUUUUUCCUCCUGUGCAUUUUUUAUACAUAAAGAAAAGAGCAACCUUACAGCUUGAAAAGACCCCAGGAUAUUUUUUAAUUAUUUUCAUUAUUUUUUUUCAAUGAGCACUCUCCAAUAUUUUUCUGGGUUGAAACAGGGAAAACAUCAUACAAAAUUUUGUCCCCACCUGUUCUGGGAUAUGCAAAGCUCCAGCCCUGUCCCGUGUCUCCUGCUGCCAGCAGAGGGAUGGUGGGACCGCGGAGUGGGAAAUUGGGUCCUUUAAUUAAUGAUGAGGAGAGAGAGGAGGAAAAAUGGGAAGGGGAAAAAGCCAUCCAAGCACAUUUAUCAUCCCUUGCUGUUAUGAGACUUUUUUUAUGGUGUAUUUGCCUAAAUGAAAUGAAAGUCUGGGGAGGAAAUAUAUUGCUUUACAAGUCAAGCGAGACAUACUGUGGGGCCUGCGCUGAAACGCUCAGCUUUGUUUACUGAUCCUGAUCCUUUCUGACCCCCCUACUUAAAAAAUAAUGCCUGGUAAUUUUCAAGAUGGAAAUAUUUCCUCUGGAAAAAGUCAGACCAAGACCUCCAGACUUCCCUCAGUGUUUCCUCUGCACUCGCUCACAGCCCUCUGCCUGCCUGGGGAGCUGCAGCCCUCUUCAAUUUAGCAGAAAUUACCCAACCUCCCUAUCUCGGCUCCCCAGAUCAUCCUUUGGUUCAAGAAACAGGUGGAUUUUCUUAUCACUGGUUAAAAAGGCCCCUGGGUGCAUUAGCAGAGGAAUAGCACUGGGAACGUCUCUGUUUUUUUUUUUCCCCCUGGCUUUUUUACAGGUCUGGCAGUGGCCCUGGAGUGGAUCAAAUGAAGUCUCCCCCUGGAUGUUGAUGGGGACUGACGUGAUCGCAACUUCCAGAGCUGUAUUGGGCCCUCAGGACUCAGGCUCUCAGGGGCAUUUAGCAGCAGUGAGUGAAAUGAUGAUGGGUGCUGGCUCCCCACUAGCCCCCAGCUCCCAGGUUCAUGCCCCAGGGCCAGCAGCAGCCCUGAAGCCCUGCAGCCCCUGCUCCCAUGGGAGUUGACUUCGACCCCAAGCUCAGAAGUGAGCAGCCACUCACAGGGCAGGGGUUCCUCUGCACACUUCUGGGCUCAGCCCUCCUACCUGGGGCAAAAAUCCUCAGAACUACACAGUUCCCCAGGUGAUGAAGCCACCUGCCACCCGAUUUGCCAUCCCACAGUGUUUUUACUGAUUUUAGUUGAAGAUCAUUCCAAUCUGUCCCUAAAACCUGAGCCUCUCCUACCGUUCUGCAGCAUUUUGAGAUGAAACGAAGCGCAUCAAAGCACUGACGCCUGCUACCAGCAAACCUCGUGGAGCAUCUCCUGAGGGCUGUGGGCCAGCAGAGCGUGGCCAGGUUGAUCAGGACAUCUGAUCUGCUCUGGGCAGGUGGCCGAGCAAAGACUGCAUCCUGCCCAGCCAAAUCUGGCCACGGGAGCUUCCAGGAGACAGGGCAGAGGGGCAGCAUCCUUCAAACCGAAAGAGCCAGAUCCAGUAGGCACCAUCUGUAAUAAGGUUUUGUACUAAAAAAUUUUUUUUGCACUAAAUGCAGCUAUCAGGCCACAGCACUUUGCUUUCUGGAGUAAAGUGGAGAAUUGAUUUUUCUUAACUGCCCAGGUGCCAAUUUUCACUGAACUUAAGACUUUCCAACUGUGUUUUAUGGAAUGAUUAGGAAGCCAAACCACACACAGGCUUGCAGGCUGUGCUCUCAGAGCCAGUACCAGCAUGAUGCCUUUGGGACUUGCAGCCCCUGCAAGUGAUGGGCACUGCAGCGACUUCCCCGUCCCAAGGUUCCUCCCAGCCCUGUUUGCAAUCUGCCAGCCAUAUAUACAUAAAUAUUCUGACUUCUGGAGCCUUGCAAUAUGCUGGCAUUUCUGCAAGCCCGUCAGUGGCAAGAGGUUAACUCCCCGGCUGGAAAGAUGCUCAUAACAAGGCAGUGAUGAUCCAAAGGAGCCUGAGGAGCAUCACAGUGUCGGUGUGUGGCCCAAAGGGAGGUGUUUGCCUCUUUUCAGCUUUUCUCACCAAACUGUUUCUGUUCCCUCCCUGUCGGAGGUGACAGUUGCUUUCCCAGCCAUCCACCCGGGGAGCUGCGGUGUCAAACCCUCUGAUUGAAUUAGCGUGGGUAAUUUAUAUGGAGGUAAAAUGGAAUGAAAAGUAAAGUAACCAGAAAUGAGAUUAUUUUUCAAGGUACAUUUAACUUACUGUGACACUUGAGAGCAUGAACCUUUAACAGAAACAAGCAA